rnacentral:lncRNA from 1 species
GGGAUUACAGGUGUGAGCCACCACCCGGCCUGUGUUCUCCAGCGCCGCCUGAUGUUGCAUCAGGUGCUUAUUGGUGUAUUUGGUUUGUGUCGGCCUCCACCAGGAUGUCAGCAAAUUGAGGGGAAGGACUUUGCCUAUCUUCCUACUGUAUUCCCAGCACCCUGAACAAGAUCCAACACUCAGUAUGGGAUCAAGUAAUGUAUGAGGAAUGAAUGAAUGAGCAGCAGCCCUGAAUGUAGAAUUGAACAAUACUCAUAAUCACAAUUCUCAGGAUCAAUGUCUGGCACCUAUGAAGGAGAGGGAAGGAAGGGCAUCUCUCACCGGAGAAGGAGUGAGUCUUCCAGACGGCAGCAGGAGACUGGUCCCCUGGGAUGUGGUAGGCAGGAGAGUCUUGCUCUGUUGUACAGGCUGGAGUGCAGUGACGCGAUCUCGGCUUACUGCAACGGAA